rnacentral:rRNA from 1 species
UUCCAGUAAACUAACUAUGUUACGACUUACCUCUUCUUUAGAAGAGGGCGACGGGCGAUAUGUACACCUAAAUUCAAUUUCGUUCUAAAUUUUUAUUUGAGAACUACUUCCAAAUCCUUUUUCAGUUCUUCUUUAGAAUAGAUCCUUUAAUUAAUUUAAUGGGUAAUUAGUUUUAUCUUCUUUAUAAUCUUCACCUUGACCUGACUUAUUAAAAAAUAUUAGGGUAGAAAAUGUAAAUUCUACCUUAAGACGGCGGUAUAAAAGAAAAAGAAGAAGAAAAAAUAAACGGGAAAAAUCGAUAAAAAAACAAAUUCCUCUGGUAAGAUAAAAGGCCGCCAAAAAGUAUGGGUUU